UCGGUGGAUUGAGUCAAUGGUUUGUUUGUUUUUUGCACACCCGUGGUGUGUAAACUCAUCCUCUUUCUUAGCAAAACCGUACCUUUACCCCUUUCGGUUUUUCUCCCUGUCAGUUUCGGGUUUAGCUAAUUUUCACCGUUUCCCUUCGUCAACUCUUAUCCAAGGAGAGACCAGUUCUCACUUCUCAGCUCCUCACCCAAAUCUAAUAUCUACUUGGCUGUGACAUGUGAAGAAGCUCUGUGGAGUAAAGGUCUGAUGGGCCAUCAUUUCCAUGAAGAAGACUAUGCAUGAGCCGUCACGCACGCCAAGUGUUUGAUGAUAUGUCUCACAAACAUUUAACACGGUUGAGUACGCUGAGAUGAUAAAUUAUUUUUAGAUUCGACAGAGAAAUUAAGGAAUUACAUUUGUAAAGUAAGCUUUCGGUUUAGAUCUUAGAUCAAAGUACGGACCACCUUGUUCCUAAAGAGAUAGAGUCAGUAUUUUCUUGGUGGGAGAGGAGAAAUUAGCUUAGCAUUUUGUUUUUUUAUUGAUGAGGAGUCCUUCUGUACGCAAGAUCAUGAAUAAAACAUUGAGGUUGUACUUGGUAA